rnacentral:lncRNA from 1 species
AUAAUAUCAACCAUGUUUAUUAAUCACAAAAACAAUAAUAAAUGUGCAAAAUAACCUUUUCAUCUGAAUAUUUUUUGCCUCUUUCAUAUUGCAGAAGGGUUAAUGGAAGAGACAGGGUUAAUGAUAUGAUACGCAUGGAUUACAGGUAACAUGAAUGAGAACUGUACUUUACCUGGGGUGAGAAGAGGAGGAUGGGAUGUGAACCAUGGGUCUGCUAUCAAGGAAGUAAAAAUGAAAUGCUGCAGUAAGCAGGUGACGUACAUUUUGCACUGCUCAUUCAACACUAGACCUUUAGUAAUGUUUUACUACCUCUAAUGCAAAUGCAUAAUUGCAGUACAUACAUAUAUAGCGAAAAAUAUGAAUUUGUCAGCACCAAUAGCGUUAUUAUUUCAAUAGUCUGUUAUUUCAUUAUUUUCAAUAGGAGAGAUGGAGUCAAUUAAAAAAAACUGUAGUCUUAAUGUAUUCUUAAUCACAACUGAACGCUAGAUUUGUCAGUGUUUAUAAUUAAUAUUUGACUUGGCAUUUAGUGUAUCUGAUUCAGACAGACACAGAUUAUGUGAGAAUAUGGAAGAAGCAGGAGGUUGCACCAAAAAAAACAAUAAUACAUAACCUACUUGAAAGUGUUAACACAUCUAAAUAGUCCAAGUAAAAUAUAUAUUCGGUAUAAACUCUUUUUUAGUUCACAAACAGCAUAUGAGAUUGUGAGUCAAAAAUAAUGAAUCAUAUAAACAAGCAUCAUGUGGAAAAUGAAACUUUUGAAUAUCAUGAGCGCUUGUGUUUAACCCUUCAGAUGAUUUCAGUUGGGAAGUUCAGCUCAAAGGCCGCUUUGAUGAGUAGUCGUGCUGCAAAUCUUUCCAGUGUUUGCACCGGAGCCGUUAAUUAUGAGACGCCAAGUUCUGUCAGGCCAAUUCUGAGCUGAAUGGAGAUCCAUCUGAGAAACAUGGGUAAGCAAAGACUAAUCUAAUAUUCUCAUAUUUUUAAUUUAAAAUUUCCACAGUGCAGAUUUCUCUCUGGCUCAGUUCAGCUUCCUUCGCAGGCUGCUGCUGGUACACGGGCACUGGUCAUACUACCGCAUCUGCAUCCUUCUGCGCUACUUCCUCUACAAAACCACUGCUUUUGCUCUGGUGCACAUUUGGUAUAGUUUCUACAAUGGCUUCAGUGCUCAGGUAGAGCAACUAGGUCACUUAAUCCACUUUACACCCUCCAACUCCAACCACACUGCAAAAAUAUCAGUCAUUACAGUCCAACUGAGAUAUGUUUGAGAUGUACUGUAACAUGUUUGAAGAAAGUCAGAUCAUUAUCAGUAAUCAAGACUGAAAUUCAAGCGCGAUGACUGAGACCAGAUAAGCCAUUCGCAAUUAUGUCUUAGGCAAAUUUGUUUAAUUGUAUGUUUUGUGGACAUAAAAAGAUGAUUUGAUUUGGUAAGUUAUAGUUUCAAUGAUAUGAUGAUCUAUUAAUUUAUUUAAAAACAUAUCAAAAAGUGCAGCAGAGAGAGAGAAAUAUACUACACCAAACGUCAACAUUUGAUUGAUGACUUUGACCUUUUGACCUUUACCCCUCCCCCACCCAUGUAGCUUUUACCCUAUUGACACAUAUAAUCUGUUGGUUGUAUAAAAGUAUUUAAU